CAUCUGACUCCCAUUGAGAAUUAGCUCUUUUAUUCUACAAGCUCCAAGGUUUGAAGGGCAUCAUUCUUCUUCCUCAUCUGUUGUUUCUCUGGAAGACAUUUGGCAGCAAGCUGAGUAAUGACUGAUGUACUACAUGGCUCCCUACCAAGUGGUGGAUCCAUAAUUCCAAAGUUGGCAUGGCUGAUAGAUAUAAUACUACCCAAAAUAUAUACUACUGAGGAAAAUCAUCUGGCAGUCUGAGAUCAUGCUUCUUUCAGGCUGGAGGCAUGCAAUUAUUCUAUCAUC